AGAUGUGAGGGGUAUCUGGCUGUGACAUCUGUUACCCUAUCAUCACCAAGGCUGAUUUGUCUGAUUUGGCUAGCUAGACAUGUGUCCCCUUCUAUCCUCACUACUCUAUAUGUCUCUGUCAAAACUGUGUGCUUGGUCAAAGACAAUGACUUCCAUUAGAGGCAGGACCAUCUUCAGUCAUUGAAGAACCUGCUAGAACUUCCUAAUAAGCACAUUAGAGGUGGAACCAUCUUUGGUAAUUGAAGAACCUGCUAGACCCCCCUCACAAGCACAUUUGUCCUUGGGAAACAGUUUUU
rnacentral:snRNA from 1 species